rnacentral:rRNA from 1 species
CCUACGGGAGGCAGCAGUAGGGAAUAUUGGGCAAUGGAGGCAACUCUGACCCAGCCAUGCCGCGUGCAGGAAGACGGUCCUCUGGAUUGUAAACUGCUUUUGAAUGGGAAGAAUGUGCUCCUUGCGAGGGGUAAUGACGGUACCAUUAGAAUAAGCCACGGCUAACUACGUGCCAGCAGCCGCGGUAAUACGUAGGUGGCGAGCGUUAUCCGGAUUUAUUGGGUUUAAAGGGUGCGUAGGCGGCUUAAUAAGUCGGUGGUUAAAAGUAGCAGCUUAACUGUUUUACAUGCCAUCGAUACUGUUGAGCUUGAGAUAUUUGGAGGCAGCUAGAAUUUCCGGUGUAGCGGUGAAAUGCAUAGAUACCGGAAGGAAUACCAAUUGCGAAGGCAGGUUGCUACGAAUAAACUGACGCUGAUGCACGAAAGCGUGGGGAUCAAACAGGAUUAGAUACCCUGGUAGUCCACGCCGUAAACGAUGAUUACUAGUUGUUGGGGUUUAAGCCUCAGUGACCAAGGGAAACCGAUAAGUAAUCCACCUGGGGAGUACGCCGGCAACGGUGAAACUCAAAGAGUAGUAGGACGUGNGAGAGCGACGACGACGACGACGGAGGAGGAG